UAGUACGCUCAGUUGGUUCGAGCGUGGUGCUGAGAACGCCAAGGUUUGCAAGUUCGAUCCCCCUACGGGACAG